rfam:Xenopus laevis strain J chromosome 1S, whole genome shotgun sequence.
UACCUGUUAUGUGAGUUGCUAUACUAAUACUGACACAGCAGCCAGAAUCAUGUAUACUUUGUCUUGGGAGUAGUUAAAUGUAACCUCUUUUUUGAGGAAC